rnacentral:rRNA from 1 species
UGAAUACGAGACGCUAAGGCGUCGAAGUAGUGUAUGUCAUACUUCCAAGAAAAGCUUGCACUGUCAUAGAUAAAAAACGCCUGUACCAUAACCGACACAGGUGGGUAGGUAGAGUAUACUAAGGGGCGCGAGAUAACUCUCUCUAAGGAACUCGGCAAAAUAACUCCGUAACUUCGGGAGAAGGAGUGCCUUAUUCGUAAGGUUGCAAUAACAAGAUCCAAGCAACUGUUUAUCAAAAACACAGGUCUCCGCUAAGUCGUAAGACGAUGUAUGGGGGCUGACGCCUGCCCAGUGCCAGAAGGUUAAAGAAGUUGGUUAGCAAUUGCGAAGCUGAUAACUGAAGCCCUGGUGAACGGCGGCCGUAACAAUAACGGUCCUAAGGUAGCGAAAUUCCUUGUCGGGUAAGUUCCGACCCGCACGAAAGGCGUAAUGAUUUGGAUACUGUCUCGGAGAGGGGCUCGGUGAAAUAGACUUGUCUGUGAAGAUGCGGACUACCUGCACCAGGACAGAAAGACCCUAUGAAGCUUUACUGUAACUUGAAAUUGAAAUUGGACUUUAUUCGCGCAGUAUAGGUGGGAGGCGUUGAUUAUAAUCUUGUGGGAUUAUUGGAGCCAUCAGUGAGAUACCACUCUUGUAAUGUUAGAUUUCUAACUUUGAAUCAUUAUCUGGUCAAAGAACAGUUUCAGGCAGGCAGUUUGACUGGGGCGGUCGCCUCCUAAACGGUAACGGAGGCGUACAAAGGUUUCCUCUGAACGGUUAGAAAUCGUAUCUAGAGUGUAAAGGCAUAAGGAAGCUUGACUGUGAGACCUACAAGUCGAGCAGGGACGAAAGUCGGUCUUAGUGAUCUGACGGUACUGAGUGGAAAGGCCGUCACUCAACGGAUAAAAGUUACUCUAGGAUAACAGGCUGAUCUCCCCCAAGAGUUCACAUCGACGGGGAGGUUUGGCACCUCGAUGUCGGCUCAUCGCAUCCUGGGGCGGUAGUACGUCCCAAGGGUUGGGCUGUUCGCCCAUGAAAGCGGUACGCGAGCUGGGUUCAGAACGUCGUGAGACAGUUCGGUCCAUAUCCGGUGUAGGCGUUAGAAUAUUGAGAGGAGCCUUCUUUAGUACGAGAGGACCGAGAAGGACAUACCUCUGGUGUACCAGUUAUCGUGCCAACGGUAAACGCUGGGUAGCUAUGUAUGGAGUGGAUAACCGCUGAAAGCAUCUAAGUGGGAAGCCCACCUCAAGAUAAGUAUUCUCAC